GCGGCCAUAGCUCAGAGGUAGAGCCCUGGCUUCCCAAGCCAGUUACACGGGUCCGAUUCCCGUUGGCCGCU
rnacentral:tRNA from 1 species